GACAGGGGAAGUGGAAGCCCUUCCGCUUUUGAAGGUGUGUGUUUUUUAUUUCUCACUGCUCAGAUGCCAUGGUUACAAGCACUAUGGAACACAAACCAGCGGCAUCAGUCAUAGGAGACUUCAGAACAUAAAUAUUGAGGAGGCUUUUCUCAGCUGACUUCGCCAGUUAGGCAAUAAAAACCCUACCUUGAGAGACAUGUGACCAGUUCUUCAUUAACGUAAUUAUGGAAUUAAAUCCAGACUGCAUGAAUAGAGGAUGGAGGGAGGAGUGUCUGGUGGCAGACUCUGUCCUAGGAAAUGGAGAAGCCUUUGCUUGCUUUGAGUGUACUUACUUGAAUCUCAUGUAUAAUACAAAUUAAAGCACAAGAAGCCACUGGCUACAUUAAAUUCCUACAACUGGCAGCAAGAGCCUGGAUUUCAGGGAAGGCUUGACAGUUUUGAGAGAUGAGGAAAUGCUCUGGCCUUACAGAUUCAUUCUCCCUCUUAGUCUAAAUGAGAGUUCUUCACUGUAGUCCCCUUCCUUUUUUCCUCUGGCAAUAGGAAAGCUUUUUCAUCAGCUCCUUUGCAGCAUUUCCCCCCUUGUAUCUGUGGUAUAAAUUGAUUGAUUAUAACAGCUGUAAAUUGGUGUGUAACUGUAUAAACCCACAAAAGAUGCAGACAAUUUGUUGGCAAAUUCUCCUUUUAUCUCUUCUUCUGCCCUCAAAAAACCCUGAGAUAAUGCUUCUCCCUUCUUUGUGAAGCCUUGCUAGAACUAUACAAGAGUGAAAUGUUAUUGGUUGUUGUUAUAACAACUGGAGCUAUGAUAUUUUCAUUGCAUCUCUUAAAUUUUUUUUAAAAAUAAAUUAAUUCCAAGGUGUUAAAGCAAACAGAUAGAUUACUACUUGCCCCCCCUAGAAAUGCAGCCAGUAGACCUUAUAGCAAAAGCCGAGAACUUGGACCCACUAUCUAGCUCUUGGUAUUUAAGGCUCUACUUCAUUGGAUUAAAAGACUUUUUGAACCCAUGACCUCCUCAGCUGAGCAAGAAGAUGUUCUCCUCCUGGGUCCCAUCCAUACUGGCUUGCGUGUUUCCGUGGCCCAAGGGAGCAUGGUCCAAGCCGUGGCUAGCGGGGCAUACUCAGCAGGAGACGUGCUGGUUGGCCCGGUUGUUUUCAUCACCGGAGAAAAGAAAGAGCUGCCUGGGCAAAAGUCUCUGUGUGCUCCAAAAGCUGAACACCAGAUUUGUAAAACCCAUGUGUCUGCACCCAUGUCCUUGCGGGGUGGAGGAAGGGCUAGAAACCUGCUUCUGUGUGUGUGUGCGCACAGCUAUGCUUGGAGAUGGGCCCAUAAAUUUGAAAAAAUCCUGAAACUGGGCUCCAACUGCUGGAGAUGUCAAGACUGGUUGGCUCCUUGGGGAUGUUAUCUGUGAAGACUUUACCAUAAUGUGGCAGGGCUCUGGAUGCCAGGAUUAACCAACACUCAUCCCAGCACUCAGAAAUAAAUCCUCCUUUUUUGUGACUUGUUUCAAUAAUAUUCUGCGAAUGACAGCAUUUUGGAUGGUAAGAAAUGUAAGCUCUCUGUGUUACAGACAGGAAUGAACUGUCUGCUUAGCAAAAAUUUCCCUCAUGAUGUCUGCGUGUAUCCCCUAACCCUACUGCUGAGGGUUGGACUGAAUUUUUAUUCUUGUUUUAUUUUUCAAUUGAAAUAGAAACUGAAACAUUUAUUUAUUUGGAGAGGAAAACUCUGUAGAGAGCUACAUGAUACUUUCUAGUCAGAGACAAAGGAAGAUGUAAGUUGAUUUGGACAACGUGAAAGCUCGAUUGCCUCCUGGCCAGAGGGCUCUGACAAAAAACCUAGUAUGUGUUGCCAAGAGGUUAGGAGAAGAUUUGAGCCUUAAGUCCUCCCCAUUGACCUGGUCUAACAAGGAGCAGUUUUCCCCUGCAACAGGAGUGUUACAGAAGAGCCCUAACCUGGGGGUCUUUCAUCUCAUGGAAAUGAAGCCAAGCCAAGCUGCCUCCAGUUUUCCGGCAGCAGCAGAGAGGCUGGAGCAGCUGGAUCAGCCCAGGAUCAACCCUGGAUGUCACACCUGAAGACGGCCAGCUCAGGCAAGUGUCUGCAGCCUAAUGCUGCUGUGCGUGCAUGCUGUUGUGAGCCACAGGCUGGGCUGUGGCUGCUGUUGUCGUGUUAAGGAAACAGGCUGUGGCUUUACCUCCCUUUUGAGAGCACCUUACAGAAAGGGGUGUUUUCUGGAUGUUAAAAGCAAGGGGCUCUGUCUUAGCGUAGCAGGGUGACACUAUACAUCACAGUGUAUGUGAGCUUGCCUCGGUGAUUUUGUUGAGGUAUUGUUAUCAGAGA